rnacentral:rRNA from 1 species
AUUGAACGCUGGCGGCAGGCUUAACACAUGCAAGUCGAACGAGUGGCGGACGGGUGAGUAAUGCUUGGGAAUCUAGCUUAUGGAGGGGGAUAACUACGGGAAACUGUAGCUAAUACCGCGUACCAUAGGAUGAGCCCAAGUGGGAUUAGGUAGGUGGUGAGGUAAAGGCUCACCAAGCCGACGAUCUCUAGCUGGUCUGCGAGGAUGACGAGCCACAAGGGGACUGAGACACGGCCAAGAAUCCUCAGGGAGGAAGCAGUGGGGAAUAUUGCGGAAGGGGGGCAACCGGACGAAGCCAUGCCGCGUGAAUGAAGAAGGCCUUCGGGUUGUAAAGUUCUUUCGGUAGCGAGGCGUUAACUACAGAAGAAGCACCGGCAAACUCCGUGCCAGCAGCCGCGGUAAUAC